rnacentral:lncRNA from 1 species
UUCUCAUAACCAAAAAAAAACGAACAAACCGAUCUCAGUAACCACCACGACCUCCACGUCCGCCGCCGAACCCACCACGACCACCGCCAAAUCCACCAACAGGUCCAGCAAUAGCCACCGUCUGCUCUUCUUUGAGUACAACACCAGGUAAUUCGCUCAUACCCAUUGAAGCAAGCAAGUCAAUAGUUUCCUUAUCAACUUCAAUCCUCUCAGUAUUAAUAGCAGAUUCAUCAGGAACGAAGUCCAUACGGCGUUCUCUCUCUUCCUCUUGUAGCUUAAGAGAAAUGCCUCUAACCGGACCUUUUUGGAUUCGCUUCAUCAGAUGAGUAGAGAAUCCAGCGAUCUUGUUGCGGAGACGCUUCGAUGGGAUGAUAGCAACUUCU